rnacentral:rRNA from 1 species
GGCGGCGUGCUUAACACAUGCAAGUCGAGCGGAAAGGCCCCUUCGGGGGUACUCGAGCGGCGAACGGGUGAGUAACACGUGAGCAACCUGCCCCUGACUUUGGGAUAAGCCCGGGAAACUGGGUCUAAUACCGGAUAUGACCACUCCGGGCAUCUGGUGGUGGUGGAAAGUUUUUCGGUUGGGGAUGGGCUCGCGGCCUAUCAGCUUGUUGGUGGGGUGAUGGCCUACCAAGGCGACGACGGGUAACCGGCCUGAGAGGGCGACCGGUCACACUGGGACUGAGACACGGCCCAGACUCCUACGGGAGGCAGCAGUGGGGAAUAUUGCGCAAUGGGCGGAAGCCUGACGCAGCGACGCCGCGUGGGGGAUGACGGCCUUCGGGUUGUAAACCUCUUUCAGCAGGGACGAAGCUAACGUGACGGUACCUGCAGAAGAAGCGCCGGCUAACUACGUGCCAGCAGCCGCGGUAAUACGUAGGGCGCAAGCGUUGUCCGGAAUUAUUGGGCGUAAAGAGCUCGUAGGCGGUUUGUUGCGUCUGUCGUGAAAGCCCACGGCUUAACCGUGGGUCUGCGGUGGAUACGGGCAGACUAGAGGCAGGUAGGGGAGAACGGAAUUCCCGGUGUAGCGGUGAAAUGCGCAGAUAUCGGGAGGAACACCGGUGGCGAAGGCGGUUCUCUGGGCCUGUACUGACGCUGAGGAGCGAAAGCGUGGGGAGCGAACAGGAUUAGAUACCCUGGUAGUCCACGCCGUAAACGUUGGGCGCUAGGUGUGGGGUCCUUCCACGGAUUCCGCGCCGCAGCUAACGCAUUAAGCGCCCCGCCUGGGGAGUACGGCCGC